rnacentral:rRNA from 1 species
ACUCCUACGGGAGGCAGCAGUGGGGAAUCUUAGACAAUGGGGGCAACCCUGAUCUAGCCAUGCCGCGUGAGUGAUGAAGGCCUUAGGGUUGUAAAGCUCUCUCAGCUGGGAAGAUAAUGACGGUACCAGCAGAAGAAGCCCCGGCUAACUCCGUGCCAGCAGCCGCGGUAAUACGGAGGGGCUAGCGUUGUUCGGAAUUACUGGGCGUAAAGCGCAUGCAGGUGGUUUGUUAAGUCAGAUGUGAAAGCCCGGGGCUCAACCUCGGAAUUGCAUUUGAAACUGGCAGACUAGAGUACUGUAGAGGGGGUAGAAUUUCAGGUGUAGCGGUGAAAUGCGUAGAGAUCUGAAGGAAUACCGGUGGCGAAGGCGG